GAGGCUGCUAAGACUGCAGCAAAAAGCAUUAUGGAUAUGCAGAAUGUGGUUGAGGAGGACUCAGAAUCUUCGAAGGAGGAUGAUAUGGAAGGAUCUGCAAUUUAAGGAGAAAGUGAAGAUGAGAAUGAUAAACGGCGUAAGGCUGCUUUGGAUAAAUUGGAGAAGGCUAGUGAAGAUACAAUCCUAGGCCAAGCAUGUCACAAAUAUGAAAAUUUAAAUAAAUUGUAUCUUGGGUUUGUCUUUUCUUGGAUUUCAAAGGUGCAUAAUUUCCUUAUUCAUACCCUCCAUAUUUGUUUACAGAGGUCAUUUGUCCUUUAAAUUCUCUCUCCCUAAACUUGUGUUGGUCUCAUCAAUCCAUGAUUAUGGGAGGAUGGACUGUGUAUUGAUUUAGGCUUUACUUUUUUUUUUGCCUGUCCUCAGAUUUCUAUCUCAUUCUUUUUCUGAGUUAAAAAUUAAAAUGGGCCACUAGUUCUACCUCUGAUUGGGAAUUGUGAUUGGGAAUUGUUUGGGAAUAUGCUAUUUUAGUAACUUUUUGACUUUUUAUGAAAAGAUGUGCAGAAAAAGUAGAGAUGUGAUGUGACCCAAAAAAUAUAAAAAGACAAAAAGUAUGCUAUUUUAGUAGCAUCUCAAAUUUUGUGAAUUUUUAAUAAGAUUUCACUUUGUUAUUUCUUUAUGUACCCUUUUCUUAUUGCAGGUUGAGGAGUACCAAGGUGUAUACAAGGCAUCAGAGUAGGUGCUGCUUAUUAUGGUCUUAGGUCUGUUGUGGAGCUUAUGACGUUUAAUUUUUCAAUGCAAUUGACCACAUCAUUAAUUCUGCUACAAAAUCAAAUUACAUGUCUGCUAGCCAGAUAAAUGUACCUAUUGUUUUUAGAGGACCAAAUGGUGCUGCUGUUGGUGUAGGUGCCCAACACUCCCAGUGUUUCGUAGCAUGGUAUGGCGCUUGCCCUGGUUUGAAAGUACUGGCCCCAUACUCAUCUGAAGAUGCUCGUGGACUGUUACCCUGAUCCUGUUGUUUUUCUAGAAAAUGAGUUGUUGUGAGUACUCAAUGCAAUAUUAAGUUGUAACAUAUCAACCUUAUCCAUAUAGAUCAUUAUUAUUAUCCAAUGUGAUUUUUGCGCUUCAGAUAUGGGGUGAGUCUUUCCUUAUUUCGGCAGAAGUUCUUGAUUCUAGUUUUUGCCUCCUAAUAGGGAAAGCUAAGGUUGAGAGAGAAGGAAAGGAUGUCACGAUUACCACUUUUUCAUGGAUGGUGGGCUAUGCCAUUAAGGUUUGUCUAUGAAACUUUAUAUACCUUUUGAGAUGUGAUCUUUGUCAUUUAGAUAUAUGACCUAACGCUGCUUGUUCCAUGGGAGGACAAUGCUUUUGCACAAGAAGUGAUCUUAAGUUGAGAAAAUGAAGCUAUAGUUUGAACUUGAAAAAUUUCAGGAGCAUCUCUGUAUUUGGUAUAGUAUGCUAACUAGUAAUUAGCCUACAUUCUACAAGGUAUAGCGGUUUUGACUGUCACUACCUCACGGAAUACAGAGUUUUGAGGCUUGAAUUAGUCUCUAUGAUAUUGUGACAUUGCUUUUAGCUUUGUGGAUGAAAUUGCUUUGAACUGUAGCUAAGCAUUCUCAUAUAAUGUUGCUGUAGUUGCUCAGUAAACACUUUUGUAUUCAUCUUCGAUGAGAACAUUAGUGAUCUCUGUUGUUUGUUGACAUUGCAUAUCUUUCAAAUUCUCGUUCAUAUUGCCUUUGGUUACAGUUAGUCAAUUUUUUGCCCUCGUUUUAAAUGUAACUAUGUUGUGUGAUGUUCAGGUAGCUGAGAUUCUUGCGAAGGAAGGGAUCAGUGCUGAGGUUAUAAAUCUUCACUCAAUUAGGCUAGUAGAUAGGGCCACAACCAAUGCUUCAGUUCGGAAAACAAGUAGACUAGUGAUAGUUGAAGAAGGGUUCCCUCAACAUGGUGUUGGUGCUGAAAUCUGAGUGGAAAAGCUUUUACUACAAAGGGAAUGCAAGUGCUUGAGCUUGUAGGCAAGGAGACCAUGGAUCUUUUGAUUACAGAAACUGGUAUUGAAGUUGACAAGAAGGGAGCUCAAGCACAAGAUGAUGAGGAUCAAUUGUUUGAGUGACAUUUGAUAGAUGCUUUUACAUAUACGGAGGAAUUGGAGUCUUUGUUCAACCAUUAUGUUUUGUUAUUUAACUAAAGACAAGCAAAGCAAUUAUCUGAAUAGAAGUCUUUUUAUGACGGAAAGCUAAAACAAGUGCAACAAAUUUUCAGCUCAAGUUCUGAAAUUGAUGGAAGUGCCACAACAUUAGAAAAAGGAAAGAAAAUAGAGACUGGAGCUGAGGGGAGUGCUAAUGAGAUGAAGAAUCUACACGACUCAAGUGUCAAAAAGGCUGUUGAAAUGGCUGCAGGCACUUCGUGAGGAGCAAAAAAGAGAUCAUGAGGAGUUGAUGAGAGAGCGAGAAGAGCGUGAGAAAUAUUACAAUGAGAUGUUGAAAGAGCAAGAGGAGCGCGAGAGAUGUUGCUACAAAGGGGCGCAUGGACAGAAAGAUCAGUAGGAGAUAAAUAAAAGGGUUGAUCAUCUGAAUAAUGUAGUCGCCAAACUCACACAACUCUUGGGGAUUUGAGUUGGUCGACUGACGUUUACUGUUUGAUGGUUUUUAGCGUGGAAUCGUGGAUAUGACUUUUUUUGGCAAGUACGAAAGAAAUUGUUUUAGUCUACGAAUUAGUAUUGUUCGUACACAUUAGUUUUAUGGCAUGGUACAAUUUAGCUUUUGACGUGGUACAGAUAAUUUUUGAUGCAGUAUAGAUUACUUUUUGACGUGGUACAAAUUACUUUUUUGGCAUGGUACAGAUUACCUUUUAGCGUGGUACAAAUUAGUUUUUGGUGGUACUGAUUAACUUUUGGAUAUUAAUUUUGUUUAAUCCUCUGUUAUGUAUGGAAUUGUAUUUUUGAUGUUGGAUUAUACUUGGUUUAUAUGGAAUUUCUAUUGCAUUUGUAA